GAAGGAAGUACUCUCUUUAGGACACCCUGCAAGUCACCAGUAGUGCUGCAACAUGCCAUCCACCUUUGUGUGGCUGGACAGGUGGAUGAGGAACCUAGCCCAUGCUCCCAUCUGGAGACGCUUUCCAAUGGGAAGGACAAGGAAGCACUGGAACAGGGUGAAAUUCUGCUCCUGACAAACUGUCAUGAAUAUUUGCCUGUUCCCUGCAUCCUGGGAAGCUGAGGAGACACUGUUUAGCAACUGGCAUUGAGCAAAAUGGCAGCUCGUUGUGAAAUCCUCUCAGAGCAUACCUUUUAAAUGCCAAACAAGCACAGGACCAACAGCACAUAAAGAAAUAAUUGAAAGGCUCUGGAGGGAAGCCAAGAGGACGUGGCUAAUGUUUCACCUAAUCUCACCCCCUCGCUCGCUCUUCCCCAGCAGUCCAGCCGGCGGGACGCGAACCUCAGAGCUCCAGCAGGCAGCUGCUCCUUGACUGCCUGCACUGUCUGCCCUGCUGGCGGCAGGACAAGGAAAACAAAGCAGCUAAAAACAUAAAGCAGGGAGAGAUUAGGAACGGCGUGGCCGGGCGGAGAGCGUGCUCUCCCGUCACGGUGGGGCUGGGGCUGCAGGGCCUCCCCCGGGCCCUGCCCCAGCCCCGACCUCUCCUGGCAGGCGGCACCCGCAGAGCCACCCUGUGCUCGGCUGUGCCUCCUUUCUCCCUCCAGGAGAGGCCCGGCACCCAGGAGACCUGACAUGGUGGUUCUUUCACAACAGACUGGCGUUAACGGGGGGAGCAGUGUGCAAAAAAUUUCUCAGACUGUACUUUCCCUUUGAAUAAAUCCACUUUGACUCCCCAGCCUCCUGUCACUUGUCCUUCACAUGCACACGGUCAUUUACCUUCCCUGCCAUGCCCACAGAUGCUUUUCCUUUGGCACAGAACAGCUUCUUUUUCAAUAAUCUGUAUUAAAAGUAAUUAUUCAGAGGCCCUUCCCAGUGGUCCGGCUCUGAAACUCCUGCUUUCCCGAGUUGCUUCCCAUUGUGUCCUUACUUUACAAAAUCAGCACCAUGAACAAAUGAUACCCAGGAUGCAGAGAGCUGCUGACCGCCUGCUCUCGUUUUGUGGCUAGCACUUGCUGGCAGGUCAAAUCGAACAUGAAGUUGACAAUCCUGACUGCCAAGCCAAGAGAAGCAUUCUGUAUGCCAGAAUUCAACUGAAUCAGAGGUGAACAGUGUUAAUUAUUGAUCGUAUUCGCCUCAGUUCAAGUGAAGUUUUUAGGACUGACCUUUUACCUGCCUUAAAAACUGUGGUUAAUGGCGCAGUAGAGCUGCAAAGCUUUCCAGUGGGUUUAGAAAAAAACUCUUUGUGCUAGCAUCAACCUAAGAGACAAAAGUAUUCCAGAUCCUAAAGGAAAAGAAACAAGUCAUAAUUUUUUACUAGGUGCUGACCAAAAACUUGGAGUUUAAGUCAUAAAUCACCAGCAAUACGGUCUCACAACAUAAGCAGUAGCACAGCAGCAAAGCACUUGAUGACCGGCAGUGAAAUAGCAGUAGAGAUCAGAGACUGGUAGGGGACUGGAAGCAAAUGUGAUUUUUCUUGUGAAGAAUGUAUGAACACACAGGGGAGAAAAGAACUAAAAAUUAAUUCACGGUUUGGCCAAAACCAGAUUUGGAAUUAAAAUCAACUAAGUUUCUGAA